CCUACGGGGGGCUGCAGUGGGGAAUAUUGGACAAUGGGCGAAAGCCUGAUCCAGCCAUGCCGCGUGUGUGAAGAAGGCCUUCGGGUUGUAAAGCACUUUCAGUGGGGAAGAAAGCCUUGGGGCUAAUACCCUCGAGGAAGGACAUCACCCACAGAAGAAGCACCGGCUAACUCCGUGCCAGCAGCCGCGGUAAUACGGAGGGUGCGAGCGUUAAUCGGAAUUACUGGGUGUAAAGCGCGCGUAGGCGGUCUGAUAAGCCGGUUGUGAAAGCCCCGGGCUCAACCUGGGAACGGCAUCCGGAACUGUCAGGCUAGAGUGCAGGAGAGGAAGGUAGAAUUCCCGGUGUAGCGGUGAAAUGCGUAGAGAUCGGGAGGAAUACCAGUGGCGAAGGCGGCCUUCUGGACUGACACUGACGCUGAGGUGCGAAAGCGUGGGUAGCAAACAGGAUUAGAUACCCGUGUAGUC
rnacentral:rRNA from 1 species